AAGUCGUAACAAGGUAACCGUAGGUGAACCUGCGGUUGGAUCAUUAAAAAAACAAAACACUCGAAAUACCAUGUCGCAGGACCCCAUGCUGCAAGCUGGGAAUGCCAGUGGCAUGGUAUGUUUUGAGCUCUUAUGUGAACCAUCCUGUCUCUGGUGGUUGGGAAUGUGUCUGGCAGAAGGCAGCAAUGCAUUGUGUGCAGAUGCACUCUUGUCAGUUUUGCUGUUUCAUUCAGUGGAACCGUGGACAAGCCACCAAACAGUUAAAGAACCAUAGUGAAACAAUGUCUGAAGAUUGUAAUAUUAAAAAUAUACAAACAACUUUUGGCAACGGAUCUCUUGGCUCUC
rnacentral:misc_RNA from 1 species